ACAAAAGCGGCGGCAAAUAUUCGUUUAUACAUAUGUAUAUAGUGUGCAAACACAAAUAUUAGCAACGGCCAGAUAAACAAAGCGAACUGCGCAAAUAUGCGAGUGACGAUCGUCUGACAUUUUCAGCGAUUUUAUUUUCGCAUCUUGGCCCAAAUCUCAAAGCUCGAGAGCCAGCCAGUCGGUCCACCUGUUCCCGUCCAACACGCAGGGAUUGAAUCAUGCGCCUUUGUCCGGGAACAGAGGAGACGUGUUUAUUAUAGAGUGUAGUUAGCACAGUUCUAUUUAUAUUUAGUUGAGGAAAUAGUGACUGGGGAAUAGAUGACACAUUUUUAGAACCUGAACCUUCAGCUGAUUUGCUCUUGAACAAACAGAUGAUACAUUUGGGCAUGACUGACUUAUUAUGCGACAUUUGGAACUUUUUCGAACUGUUAUAGGUGUGCUUAUUUACAUAAUCUGGUUAUAAAAGUACCAUAAAUCUA